rnacentral:rRNA from 1 species
UACGUAGGGUGCAAGCGUUGUCCGGAAUUAUUGGGCGUAAAGAGCUCGUAGGCGGCUCGUCACGUCGGCUGUGAAAACCCGGGGCUCAACCCCGGGCCUGCAGUGGGUACGGGCAGACUAGAGUGCGGUAGGGGAGACUGGAAUUCCUGGUGUAGCGGUGAAAUGCGCAGAUAUCAGGAGGAACACCGGUGGCGAAGGCGGGUCUCUGGGCCGUAACUGACGCUGAGGAGCGAAAAGCGUGGGGGAGCGAACAGG